rnacentral:rRNA from 1 species
CGCCGUCACUCCCCCACGGGAUCAACAGCAGUAAUUAAUAUUAAGACAUAAACGAAAGUUUGACUUAGAUAUGAUAUUUAGGGCUGGUAAAUUUCGUGCCAGCCACCGCGGUUACACGAUCAAAGCCCAAAACAACUGCUCACGGCAAAAAGCAUGACUACAAGGACCCACAUUUUACCCCAAGGAAAAAUUUUCUAUAAGUUGUAAAACAUGAAAAAGAAAAAGAACAACACAAUCCUUGCCAACCCUUAAUUCAUGAAAGCUUUGACACAAACUGGGAUCAGAUACCCCACUAUGCCUAGCCAUAAACUACAAUUUUUAAGCCAUAUUCGCCAGGGAACUACGAGCAAACCGCUUAAAACCCAAAGGACUUGACGGUGUCCCAAAUCCCCCUAGAGGAGCCUGUCCUAUAAUCGAUGAUCCGCGCUAUACCAAACCAUCUUUUGCCCUUCCAGCCUAUAUACCGCCGUCGCCAACCCACCCCACAAGGGUGUCAAAGUGGGUACAACUGCCUAAACCACAAAUACGUCAGGUCAAGGUGUAGCUAAUAAGAUGGAAAGCGAUGGGCUACAUUUUCUAAAAUAGAACAUACGAACAGCCGCAUGAAACCUGAGACUAGAAGGCGGAUUUAGUAGUAAAAUAAGAAAGAUCACUUAUUUAAAACUGCAAUUAUGAAGGG